rnacentral:misc_RNA from 1 species
CCUUGGAGGCUCUUCUUUGGAAAAAUUCUUCUGCCUUUUGGUGUUGGCUGUAUGUGUGAGAUGUGCUAGCCAAAACAAAAACCUGCAAGGGCUAAUGGUAUGGUAUCUUCCAAAUAAAGUAAGUGAAUGAAAUGUUGACAACACUAUAUGCACAAUAAGGUUUAUAUAUUAUUUUAUUUUAAAUAAUUUUAAUUCUUCAUUAAGUUUCUUCUUUAAUUUUUAUUUUAUUUUCUAUAUUCACUUUGUUAAAGUCAAGUGAUAAGAGGCAAUGUCUUAAUUCAAUAAAAUAUUUAAUUGUUACUCUGUUUAUGCAAUGGUGCCGCAAUAUUUCAUUUUAUUUUAAAAUUUUCGUUUGUAAUUUCCUAAUUUCCAUUUUGAUAUUCCUUUUUGCUGAGAUUUUAUUCUCUUUUUCUACUUUCAUUUUCAUUUUUUUAAUUAUAUAUUGGGUUUAAAUUAUUUUAAUUCUUCAUAGAGUGAGA